rnacentral:rRNA from 1 species
GAUGAACGCUGGCGGCGUGCCUAAUACAUGCAAGUCGAGCGAACAGACGAGGAGCUUGCUCCUCUGACGUUAGCGGCGGACGGGUGAGUAACACGUGGAUAACCUACCUAUAAGACUGGGAUAACUUCGGGAAACCGGAGCUAAUACCGGAUAAUAUAUUGAACCGCAUGGUUCAAUAGUGAAAGACGGUUUUGCUGUCACUUAUAGAUGGAUCCGCGCCGCAUUAGCUAGUUGGUAAGGUAACGGCUCACCAAGGCGACGAUGCGUAGCUGACCUGAGAGGAUGAUCGGCCACACUGGAACUGAGACACGGUCCAGACUCCUACGGGAGGCAGCAGUGGGGAAUCUUGCACAAUGGGCGAAAGCCUGACGGAGCAACGCCGCGUGAGUGAUGAAGGUCUUCGGAUCGUAAAACUCUGUUAUUAGGGAAGAACAGAUGUGUAAGUAACUAUGCACGUCUUGACGGUACCUAAUCAGAAAGCCACGGCUAACUACGUG